GAUUCCCCUAGUAACUGCGAGUGAAGAGGGAAAAGCUCAAAUUUUGAAUCUGGCAGUCUAAUCUUGAUGGCUGUCCGAAUUGUAAUCUAGAGAAGCGUCUUCCGCGCUGGCCCGUGUACAAGUCUCCUGGAAGGGAGCAUCGUAGAGGGUGACAAUCCCGUCUAUUGACACGGACUACCAGGGCUUAUGUGUUGCGCUCUCGACGAGUCGAGUUGUUUGGGAAUGCAGCUCAAAUAGGGUGGUAAAUUCCAUCUAAAGCUAAAUACAGGCAAGAGACCGAUAGUGAACAAGUACCGUGAGGGAAAGAUCAAAAGAACUUUGAAAAGAGAGUUAAACAGUACGUGAAAUUGCUGAAAGGGAAACGCUCGAUGUCAGUCACGUCGAUUAGGGGUCAGCUUAGCUUUAUCUGCCGAGUCUAAUU
rnacentral:rRNA from 1 species